AGUAUAGUGGUGAGUGUCCCCGCUUGUCACGCGGGAGACCGGGGUUCGAUUCCCCG
rnacentral:tRNA from 1 species